rnacentral:lncRNA from 1 species
AGCAGCCGACGCCAGAGAAUGACAGGUGUAAAUAAUGUCGAUAUUUCUCUUAUUCGUUUUCUUGUCAAACUAUUUUUUCUUUUGCGCCAAUAAAAGUACUAGUCAUAAAUUACGUUAACGUCGUACUGUACGCCUUUGUCAAAAGACUUUUACUGGUAGACCGGGGAACCACGUGGGCCGCCAUUGCAAUUCUUGAUGGCAAAUGUAUCGGAAACAUCUCUCUCCCAGGCCUCUGCACUUGACAUGACCCGGUCCUGUGGGCUCGACACCAGCCCAAGAAAAGAUCUGAACACAAUUCAAUAACGCCACCAGACAAUUUUUUCGGUUCCUGCCUCCCCCUUGCAUGGUGGAUUUAUUACAGCCAUUAUCGUUCAUGCAAUCACCGAAGAAUGGGGAGCCUGGAAUUCCCCCCCAAAAAAUGUGUUGGAGAAUGUACACCAGGCCUGGUUACUCGCUCCCACAACCAACAAGAUGUGAAGAUUUAUCACACAAUCCCGACCGCAGCCGCAGCCAGCCAGCAGCCAGCAUCAGGCAAAUAAUCAAUAACGUUUAUAACAACUCGCUGAUUGGCUGAUUUUCUUUUUCCCACCCUUUUUCUUCUUUUUCUAUCUUGAUCCUUUUCAAUUGGAAAGGGUAAGGGGUUGGGGGGGGGGGACUAUAGGAGGGAAAUGUUAGACGCCGACUGUUUGAAAUCAAAUAGCGUAGAGCAGAGAGAGAGAGCAGCUCGAAGGAAGAAGAAGAAGAAGAAUCGGAAGAGAAAGAGAGAUGAGAGCUAAAGGGCGGAAGUAGCAGAUGUUUGCCAAGAAAACGGGGUGGGACUUUCUCUCGUAGCAAACCGGGGAAAAAAAAGAGAAAAAUCAAAUCCUCCCGACAGAGAAGGAAACUGCCAACAUGUUCUAUAUUUACUAACAAUACAGACACAAAAAAACGUUUGGGAGGAUAGUAAAGAAAAGACAAUUUUUUGAAAUAAAUCAAUAAUAUCAACCCCCCCCGGUGGCGUAUCCGUCGCACCAAAAGCUCCCAAAAAACCGGAACUUGAUGGCAUGUACUACUAGUAGAGAUCUAGGCGAGAUUACUCACAGCUAAUGAAUUGACGUCAGCUCUUCCAAGAUUCCCGUCGUCCAUUUCCCGUCGAUGUAUUAUAUAGACGGACAAAACACAAAAGCAGACGUGUGGCAAUGUAUAGAUAGAUGUCUAGAAAAUGGGCCGUUUUCCUCUUCCAAGUCGCUGGGCAUUUUUCUCUCUCUCUAUUUUGCCAUGGCUUCUUCUUCUUAUUCUUCGUCUGCUAUAUUAUCUGAAUAAAUAUAUUCCUUCUAUGUAUAUUUAUAUAGUAGUAGUAGGGCUCUCUCUAGCUCUCUCUUUCUCUCUGCCCAGCUGUUGUUUGGUUUCCAUCAACAUAUUCCCAGUCGGCUGGCAGUCGGUCGGCGGAGUUGCUGGAGAGAUCUGAGGACGCCAAUUGUCAGGCCCAGGUCACUAUUGUUCGAUUGUUAUUUAACAGUGCAGAGAGAGAGAGAGAAACUGGCCAUUGUAGUACAAAAGAUAUAUAUCCCCAUGGAUAUAUAUAUAUAGUAUGCACAGGCCGGAAAUCGAUAUUUUAUUUAUAUAUAUUUAGACAUGUAUGUUGAAAGCCCGGUUCCUUUUUUAUUUCUGCCAGAGAGAUUUAUAGAUUCGAUAAAAUAUGGACAAAAAUAAAUUAAAUCGAACCUGACAGAAAUAUUGAGAGAUGCCGGGCAAAAUAAAAAAAAAAAUAAAAAU